AAAAAAUCAACCGCGUUAUUAAAAACCCCCACAGCCCACAACCCACCACCCACCGCAUCCCUCUCCUCUCCCAGUCGCCUCCCUCUCCUCUUCUCCCAUACACGGCCGUCUCCCUCUCCUCUCCGGUAUUCUCAGAGGUGAAGGGAGCCUGCAGUGGUAACAACGACGGCGCGUGGAGGUGGAUCCGGCGAUGGGGAGGAGCAUAGGCGAAGCUCGUGGUGCGGAGGCGGAUCCAACGAUGGGGAGCAGCGACGAAGCUCGUGGUGCGCCGACAACGCGAGCUGCGGCGACUCAGGCCACGGGCGGUGGAUCUGGCGGCCCGGGGAGUCGCAGGCGGCGGUGGGUGGUGAAGGAGAGGGGCGGUCGUGGUGGAGAGGUGGAUCUGGCGGCGGGGAGCGGCGUGGUCGGUGGAGCCGUGGUGGGGAGGGGUGCGGGCGGCGGCGAAGAGUGGCGGUCUCCUCUCCCAGUCGCCUCCCUCUCCUCUCCUCCCAUACACGGCCGUCUCCCUCUCCUCUCCUCUCUAGUCUUCUCAGAGGCGGUGAAAGGGUGCCUGCAGUGGUAACGGCGACGGCGGCACGGAAGCUGAUCCGGCAACGAGGUGCAGCGACGAAGCUCGUGGUGCGGCGACAACGUGAGCUGCGGCGACUCGGGCCAUGGGCGGCGGAUCUGGCGGCCCGGGGAGUCGCAGGAGGCGGUGGGCGGUGAAGGAGAGGGGCGGUUGUGGUGGAGAGGUGGAUCUGGCGGCGGGGAGCGGCGUGGUGGGUCCCAUGGCGGGGAGGGGUGCGGGCGGCGGCGAAGAGUGGCGGUCGCGGUGGAUCCAGCAGCGGCUGCCACACGACGACGACGGCCGGGCCUCGAAGGUUCCAGCGGCUUCCUCUAACCCCCUCCCCUCUCCCAGAUCCAAUGGGUGGCGGUGGUGCUCGGCCGGUGCUCGAUCUGGCGGCAGCGACUCCGGCGGCACCCAUAUGUUUGAUAAUACAGGCAGAGUAAAAAUUAAAAUAAUUCAAAAGUAACAUGAAUUCACUGCACCCAUAUGUUUAAUCGAAGCAAUAUAUAUCCCUGCAUCAUAUAUAAAGUGCAGUAAAAAAUAUAAUAUUAAUGCAUGCGUGUUGUAGGUUCAUAAGCCUAAAAAAAAUGACAAGGUUAAAACAUAAAUAUAUAAAAAUUUCUGACAAUAUGUUGAUAAAAAGUAUCAAAUAUUAAAGUGAACAAAUACUCGCACGGUUAUGCCUUGUGGUUUAGAUCACAUUGGUAGUAAUACAUGUGAGUAUUUUAAGAAAAUCAGCCAAGAGUCAUAUACCUGCUGCAUAUAUUAAAGACAAAAUUUGCUACAGAAAAUUAAAAAAACGUAUAAUUAGCUAGUGGACAAAAAAAACUGGUAAUUAGUUGCUGGACACCUGCCAGAUUAUGUUAUUAUAUGUGAAGGAAUUGGAGAGAGAAACAGCUGUUGAGCCCGAGGGCGACGGCGCGGCGAAGUCAUGCUGGGCGCCUGGGUCACUCUCACGAUUGAGUUUGUUUUAUGUUAAUUUGGCGAAGCUGCGGGCUACUGCAGCACCACAGGCCGCAGUGGCAAGAGCAAGCAGCAAGUCUGCAAGGAAGCCAAGGAGCAAGGAAGCAAAACUAAAAGGCAAAUUUUGCUAAAGGACAUUGUUAAUGUGUGGUUUUAGCCCUAGGACACUACCUAAACUCACUUUUAGGGGAAAACACUCGAUGAAUAUAGUAAUUUGCCAGUGGACACCGUGACGAUUAAAAUAAUAAUUUCCGGUUAAAAAGGAGAGAAAAAUCACGUGAAAUGUCAAAAAUGUCCUUGGGCCCACAUGUCAGCUCUAUCUCCUAUCUCUCUUCUCAUCUCUCUCUAUCUUCUCUCCCAGAGGGGAACGGGGCGGCGUCGGUCGCUGGGGCUCGAGCUUGUUGCGGCGGAGGAGAUGGCGAGGACGGCGGUCGGCGGAGUGGAGCACAGCGUCGGCUGCGGCGGAGCGGAGCUAGAGGCCGAAGCAGGCGGGCGAGCACACGGUGGCUGGCGGAGUGGAGCGGGGCGGCGGCGGCGGUGGACGAGCGUGCGGCCGGCGGAGCGGCAGCGUCGGGCGAGCGGAGUGGCGGCAACGUCGAGCGAGCGCGUGGCAGGCGGGGUGGAGCGCUGGUGGCGGCGGGCGAUCGCACGAUGACCAGCGGAGCGGCGGCGGGCGGGGCGGGGCGGAGCGGAGCGGGCAGGUCGUGGCUGGCGGAGUAGAGCGGAGCGGCGGCAGGAGAAGGGGGGAGGAGGCCGGCCGGAUAGGGGGAGAUGAGGCCGGCGGGAGAGGGGGGAGGAUACGGCUGCACCGGCGGGAGAGGGGGAAGAGGCGACGGCCGCUCUCGCCAGCUGCUGGAAGGAGGUGAUAGAGAGAGAAGAGAGAUAAGAGAGCUAACAUGUGGGCCCAAGGGCAUUUUUGACAUUUCACAUGAUUUCUCUCUCCUCUUCAACCGAAAAUUAUUAUUUCAAUCGGCGUGGUUUCCACUGACAAAUUAUCAUGUUUAUGGAGUGUUUUCCCCCAAAAGUGAGUUUGUGCAGUGUCCUAGGGCUAAAACCACACAUUAGUAGUGUUCUGUAGCAAAAUUUGCCAAACUAAAAAGGAAUAAAAAGAGGGAGAGGAAGGGGAAGGUCUUGGCAUCACACAGUGGUACAUAUUGUUCAAUUGUUUAGAAUUUCAGCACAUUGCAAAUUCAAAGUGUACAGAUUUGUGAUUGGAAAUUUUGAAAUAAAAUUUGUGUAAUUGAUGCGAACCCUCGCAUUGAGAUAAUGUUAUGUUGUACACUAUCA